CCUACGGGAGGCAGCAGUGGGGAAUAUUGGGCAAUGGGCGCAAGCCUGACCCAGCAACGCCGCGUGAAGGAAGAAGGCUUUCGGGUUGUAAACUUCUUUUCUCAGGGACGAAGCAAGUGACGGUACCUGAGGAAUAAGCCACGGCUAACUACGUGCCAGCAGCCGCGGUAAUACGUGGGUGGCAAGCGUUAGCCGGAUUUACUGGGUGUAAGGGGCGUGUAGGCGGGAAGGCAAGUCAGAUGUGAAAACCAUGGGCUCAACCUGUGGCCUGCAUUUGAACCUGUUUUUCUUGAGUACUGGAGAGGCAGACGGAAUUCCUAGUGUAGCGGUGAAAUGCGUAGAUAUUAGGAGGAACACCAGUGGCGAAGGCGGUCUGCUGGACAGCAACUGACGCUGAGGCGCGAAAGCGUGGGGAGCAAACAGGAUUAGAUACCCGUGUAGUC
rnacentral:rRNA from 1 species